CCAAACGCGACUUCCGCGAGCGACACGACUGAUUUGCAUAGAAAGUCAAUGGGGUUGGGCGACUGACGGCGACCAGCGGCGACCAACAUGGCAGCGACACGACUGGGGUGUGCAACGCUACAAGAUUUGAGCUACAUACGGCGACUCCGGCUACUCAAGACGACACAACUGGGGUACAGCGACAGUCGCAGAAGUUCACCACCUGCGGAGCGUUGACCAAUCAGAGACCAGAUCCGCGAGUGACGUGUCCCGGCGGAGGAGAAGCAAAUCGCUGCGGUUGUUUACAAGCAGACUUUCCGCCGUCCUGAGAGUGGCUCAAAUCGUGCAUUUUUUAAUUUCCACCGGAACAUAAAUAGGAAGAAUCUUGUCCGGAGGGAAAGUUCGCCACAACGGUGGCGUUCCUGAUGAGACGUCCUGAAGGGUCUGUUUAUAUAGCGGCAUCUACUGUAGUGCCGUGAAGUGAGCGUUCUUCUCCGUCCUCUCUCUUCUGGAGCCCUUCAUCUCCAAGAGAGACCUCAGCCAACAUGACUGGAGAGGCAGCAGCUGCUGCAGCAGCAAGGUAGCAGGAGAGGAGGAGGAUGGAUCCACUCAUGAUGUUGGUGAUGAUGAUGAGGAGGAGGAUGGACCUUCCUCUGCCUCACCUGGUGCUGCUGCGUCUCCUCCACCUGCCACUGGCCCCUCCUCAUCCACUGCUGCUCCCCAUGACACCGAAGGAAGAGACCAACAGAGGAAGGGGUCCUCUGAUGCUGAAGCUGAGCUCAAACAUCUAAUGUACUCCCUCCACACACCCAGCUCAGAAGAAGGG